rnacentral:rRNA from 1 species
GGUAGCCCUGCCCGGUGUAGUUAGUUAAUACCUAUCUAUUAACGGCGGCAUUAACGUGAGUGUCCUAAGGUAGCGCGAUAAUUUGCCCUUUAAUUGGGGAUGGUAUGAAAGGGUUAACGUGGGAAUUCCUGUGUCACGAGGUUUAUUUGAAAUUAUUUUUAAAGUGAAGAAACUUUAAUUAAACAGAAAGACGACAAGACCCUAUGAAGCUUUAUUGUUAAACUCUCUAGUGUGAGUUUACAUUUUUAAUGGGGCAUUAUAGAAAAAAAUUUAAUAUAGCUAUCUAACUAGAUACAACUGUGUACAUAUAAGAUUAGCUACUCUAGGGAUAACAGCGAAAUUUCUUUUACUAGAAGGUAUUAAAAAAGAAGUUUUCGACCUCGAUGUUGGCUUUAGGUAACCAUUGGGUGUAUCAGCUCAAAUGCGUGGGUUUGUUC